AACGAACGCUGGCGGCAGGCUUAACACAUGCAAGUCGAGCGCCCCGCAAGGGGAGCGGCAGACGGGUGAGUAACGCGUGGGAAUCUACCCAUCACUACGGAACAACUCCGGGAAACUGGAGCUAAUACCGUAUACGUCCGAGAGGAGAAAGAUUUAUCGGUGAUGGAUGAGCCCGCGUUGGAUUAGCUAGUUGGUGGGGUAAUGGCCUACCAAGGCGACGAUCCAUAGCUGGUCUGAGAGGAUGAUCAGCCACACUGGGACUGAGACACGGCCCAGACUCCUACGGGAGGCAGCAGUGGGGAAUAUUGGACAAUGGGCGAAAGCCUGAUCCAGCCAUGCCGCGUGAGUGAUGAAGGCCCUAGGGUUGUAAAGCUCUUUCACCGGUGAAGAUAAUGACGGUAACCGGAGAAGAAGCCCCGGCUAACUUCGUGCCAGCCGCCGCGUA
rnacentral:rRNA from 1 species